UACGAGGGGGGCUAGCGUUGCUCGGAAUUACUGGGCGUAAAGGGCGCGUAGGCGGGUCGUUUAAGUUAGAGGUGAAAGCCCAGGGCUCAACCCUGGAAUUGCCUUUAAAUACUGGCGGCCUUGAGUAUGGCAGAGGUGUGUGGAACUCCGAGUGUAGAGGUGAAAUUCGUAGAUAUUCGGAAGAACACCAGUGGCGAAGGCGACACACUGGGCCAUUACUGACGCUGAGGCGCGAAAGCGUGGGGAGCAAACAGGG
rnacentral:rRNA from 1 species